rnacentral:rRNA from 1 species
AACGAACGCUGGCGGCAUGCCUAACACAUGCAAGUCGAACGAGAUCUUCGGGUCUAGUGGCGCACGGGUGCGUAACGCGUGGGAAUCUGCCCUUUGGUUCGGAAUAACAGUUGGAAACGACUGCUAAUACCGGAUGAUGACGAAAGUCCAAAGAUUUAUCGCCAGAGGAUGAGCCCGCGUAGGAUUAGCUAGUUGGUGUGGUAAAGGCGCGCCAAGGCGACGAUCCUUAGCUGGUCUGAGAGGAUGAUCAGCCACACUGGGACUGAGACACGGCCCAGACUCCUACGGGAGGCAGCAGUGGGGAAUAUUGGACAAUGGGCGAAAGCCUGAUCCAGCAAUGCCGCGUGAGUGAUGAAGGCCUUAGGGUUGUAAAGCUCUUUUACCCGGGAUGAUAAUGACAGUACCGGGAGAAUAAGCUCCGGCUAACUCCGUGCCAGCAGCCGCAGUAA